rnacentral:rRNA from 1 species
UAAUACGUAGGUGGCAAGCGUUGUCCGGAAUUAUUGGGCGUAAAGCGCGCGCAGGCGGCUAUGUAAGUCUGGUGUUAAAGCCCGGGGCUCAACCCCGGUACGCAUCGGAAACUGUGUAGCUUGAGUGCAGAAGAGGAAAGCGGUAUUCCACGUGUAGCGGUGAAAUGCGUAGAUAUGUGGAGGAACACCAGUGGCGAAGGCGGCUUUCUGGUCUGUAACUGACGCUGAGGCGCGAAAGCGUGGGGAGCAAACAGGAUUAGAUACCCUGGUAGUCCACGCCGUAAACGAUGAGUGCUAGGUGUUGGGGGUUUCAAUACCCUCAGUGCCGCAGCUAACGCAAUAAGCACUCCGCCUGGGGAGUACGCUCGCAAGAGUGAA